GGAGAGGUGGCCGAGUGGCCGAAGGCGCUCCCCUGCUAAGGGAGUAUACCUCAAAGGGUAUCGGGGUUCGAAUCCCCCCCUUCUCCGCCA
rnacentral:tRNA from 1 species